GGCCACAGGUGUCUUGCGUUAUGCUAAUGUUCCAAUCAAAGCAUUGACGGAUGUUUAAUGUGACCGUUUGCUAACAACUCGUGGAAAAUGUCAGAAAAGUGUCUAUUUCAGAUGUUGAAGUCACACAGCUUUCUUCCACUACGAUGACACGCUUACUGGCCCGGCCGUCUGGUGAACCACCCCCACCCCCCCUCAGGGAACAGUGGAAAGGUAAGUGGAAAAUGUCAAGGUUCUGUGAAAACGCAUGCAUUUUUAAUAUUUCAGGGUUUUUUUUGUUUUUUUUUUACCAAAGAUUUCAAAAAUAUUUGAUCCACUUUGACAAGUUUGAGAAAGGAAAUGACUGGAAUCCAUUUUGGAAUGCGGCCAUGAAGCUGGGGGCGGGGGUGGUGAUUACUUCUGCAAGGCGCUGUAUGAUUUGAGUUCUUAGCGGGCACACACGGCGUACAAGCUUUGGCACCACUUUGUGUUUGUUGUGUCCACUUCGUGUUGUGGUCAUGUGACGUGUUCCUCACUGCAGCCAACCAGCCAUCACUCCAUUCUUCACUUCAACACCUCAUUGAGGUGGAGUUCACCACUUCAUGAAAGCGGCGACGCCGGAAAGCUUGUUAUGGAAGUUCUUCCGUCUUCCUGGUGGCCAGGCCUUGCCUCUCCAUGAUGUUCCACAGCUUCCGUAGGUUGGAGCGGGUGAUGGCGUCGUCGGGUUUGAGUUGCAGGGCUCUCAGGUAGUUGGCCUCGGCUUCCGACAGUCUUCCGUUCAAGUGCAGGAUGGCGCCGAGGUUCAUGAGGGCAGCUGGGUACUGGGAAGGGCGGAGUAAGAAGAAGAAGAAGGAGUCAUAUGUGAUAGAUGAUGUGGUCUUCUUACGACCUUCUCAAUGUGCUUUUUAUAUAUAUAUAUAUGUGCUAUAUUUAUAUAGCAGAUACAAUAAGAGGAAAUGGGACAUAUAAAACCUGUUUACUACCUUCUAAGUAUGCUUUUUACCAUUAUUAGAGCCCUCUAUACAACAAAUAACACCCCUAUAGUCACAUUUACACUCCUAUUACCCUAUAUGGCAGAUACAAUAAGAGGAAAUGGGACAUAUAAAACCUGUUUACUAGCUUCUCAGUAUGCUUUUUACCAUUAUUAGAGCCCUCCAUACAACAAAUAACACCCCUAUAGUCACCUUUACACUUCUAUUACCCUAUAUGGCAGAUACAAUAAGAGGAAAUGGGACAUAUAAAACCUGUUUACUACCUUCUCAGUAUGCUUUUUACCAUUAUUAGAGCCCUCCAUACAACAAAUAACACCCCUAUAGUCACCUUUACACUCUUAUUACCCUAUAUGGCAGAUACAAUAAGAGAAAACAGGACAUAUAAAACCUGUUUACUACCUUCUCAAUAUGAUUUUUACCAUUAUUAGAGCUCUCUAUACAACAAAUAACAACCCUAUAGUCACCUUUACACUUCAAUUACCCUAUAUAGAAGAUACAAUAAGAGGAAAUGGGACAUAUAAAACCUGUUUACUACCUUCUAAGUAUGCUUUUUACCAUUAUUAGAGCCCUCUAUACAACAAAUAACACCCCUAUAGUCACAUUUACACUCAUGUUACCCUAUAUAGUCGACAUAAUAGGUGGGUUUUUUGCUCCUUUUCCAAGGUUUUUGUUUAAUUAGAGUUUAUUCUCAUAAAAUGACAGCUGUUUAUUUCCCAUUUCAACUAUUUUCUUGUAACUUUAUUCCCAGAAUAUUUUUUUUUCUCCUUAAUAUUUGAACUUUAUGCUACGAAAAUGACGUUUAUUUUGAAGUUUAUUUUGGUAAAAUUGCAAAUACUUACGGACAUUUUUUCAUAUGUUUAUGCCUGAUUGAGUGAUAGACGUGAGUCCAACUACGUUUAUGCUAACUGUUUGUUUGGUCGUCUCCCAAGCUAGGGCUUCUUUUAUCUGUCCGGCUAACGGAUAAGCAAGCGCUGUCAGCGCUAACAGGUCAAGUGCACCAGACAGAUAAAUGGCGGUCACGUCUCUUCUUCCUGCUGCUCUUAGUGGACCCCCCCCCCAUCAAGAUCAAACCUUGCCUUGAAGUGACUGAUUCAUUGAGAGAGUCGUACUCACGUCCGGUCUGAGGGCGGCCGCCCGCUUGUACUGCCUCUCCGCCGCCUGGUUCAAGCUGGCCUGCCUGCCAAAGGAGCAGCACGUGGCGUGAAACCAACGCGGUGCGAACACGGCGGAUGUUUCCUACCGAACCUUAGCAUGUGUGCCGCGCUGAAAACGACGUCAAACUCCGAGCUCUCCAACUUGGCCGCUCUGUCCGCCAUCUCCGCCGCCUCGGGGAGUCGCGAGUGCUCCAGGAGGAACUGCCCUGCGAAUGGAGGACAGGUGGAGAUGGUGAAAAAGACACAACUUCCUGUCCCUUCCGCUGUCUGCAGAUGUUCGGAAGGGGAGAACGUGCCGCAUGGAGGCUGGGAACAAUGGAAGGAAGCGGCAGCUUGUCAUGACCAUCUCUCUCUUCUAAUGGAGAUAACGGCCAGCCCAAAUAAAUAUCACCUCAUCCAAGAUACGGGCCAGGACACAAUGGUGCUUACUACAAUAUCCUGGAUGACAUCAGACGUCUCACCGUAGUGCAUGUAGCAGUUCCCCCUCAUGGGGUCCAGCUCGAUGGCCCUCAGGUAGUACUUUUCUGCCUCCGUCUUUUCACCCUAGAAGAAAGAAGUAUGUUCUUAGGUAGACGCCCAUAGGAUGUGUCAUGAGAGCCUUUUUAGGAGCACCAAACGCGAGAAACGAUCAUCUCCCUCACUUGUUUGAGUCACAGUCACUUUUCAGGUUCUUUGGAGUUGAAGGAAGGCAUUUUAUGGCCUUCUAGAUUCAGUUCUAGAUACAAUUAUUAGAGCCCUCUAGACAUGAAAUAACACCCCUAUAGUCGCCUUUACACUCCUAUUACCCUAUAUAGCAGAUACAAUAACAGAAAAGGGGACCUAUAAAACCUCUUUACUACCUUCUCAAUAUGAUUUUUACCAUUAUUAGAGCCCUCUAGACAACAAAUAACACCCCUAUAGUCCCAUUUGCACUCCUAUUACCCUAUAUAGAAGCUCCACGUAAGACAAAAUAGGACAUAUAAAACCUGUUUACUACCUUCUCAAUAUGCUUUUUAUCAUUAUUAGAGCCCUCUAGACAUGAAAUAACACCCCUAUAGUCACCUUUACACCCAUGUUACCCUAAAUAGCAGAUAUAAUAAGAGUAAAUGGGACAUAUAAAACCUGUUUACUACCUUCUCAAUAUGCUUUUUAUCAUUAUUAGAGCCCUCCAGACAAGAAGUAACAACCCUAUAGUCACCUUUACACUCCUAUUACCCUAUAUAGAAGAUACAAUAAGAGAAAAUGGGACAUAUAAAACCUGUUUACUCCAUUCUCAAUACGCUUUUUAUCAUUAUUAGAGCCCUCUAGACGUGAAAUAACACCCCUAUAGUCACAUUUACACUCCUAUUACACUAUAUAGAAGCUACAAUAAAAGAAAAUGGGACAUAUAAAACCUGUUUACUACCUUCUCAAUAUGCUUUGUAUCAUUAUUAGAGCCCUCCAUACAAGGAAUAACACCCCUAUAGUCACCUUUACACUCCUAUUACCCUAUAUAGCAGAUACAAUAAGAGACAAUGGGUCUUAUAAAACCUGUUUACUACCUUCUAAAUAUGCUUUGUAUCAUUAUUAGAGCCCUCUAGACAUGAGAUAACACCCCUAUAGUCACAUUUACACUCCUAUUACACUAUAUAGAAGCUACAAUAAAAGAAAAUGGGACAUAUAAAACCUGUUUACUACCUUCUCAAUAUGCUUUUUACCAUUAUUAGAGCCCUCUAGACAACAAAUAACACCCCUAUAGUCACCUUUAGACUCCUAUUACCCUAUAUAGCAGAUACAAUAAGCGAAAACAGGACAUAUAAAACCUGUUUACUACCUUCUCAAUAUGCUUUUUAUCAUUAUUAGAGCCCUCCAGACAAGAAGUAACAACCCUAUAGUCACCUUUACACUCCAAUUACCCGAUAUAGAAGAUACAAUAAGAGAAAAUGGAACAUAUAAAACCUGUUUACUCCUUUCUCAAUAUGCUUUUUUACUAUUAUUAGAGCCCUCUAGACAACAAAUAACACCCCUAUAGUCACCUUUACACUCCUAUUACCCUAUAUAGUCGACAUAAUAGGAGAAAACAAGCGUGUGGAGCCACACGCUCAAAGAGAGCUGUUUAGCAUGAAAGCUACACGCACACAACCCCGGUUUAGCAAGUGUUAGAUUCCGCCCCACUAUUGUGAAACCUCCUUGGACGUAUUUUAAAAUGGUUGCUAAUGUGAGACGUUUGAGGAACGUCCGUGCUUUGGAGGUGAAACGUAGUCCACGACGCCAGGCUGACCCCCCCCCUCCUUCGCGCCUGACUGCAGCCUACGUAUGGACAACAACACAUGUUGCUCAUUUAAUAAGGAAGCCCAGUAAUUCCAUUACGCAUACGCCAGUCCCCGCACUGGUCCCACUGUCCGGGGUGCGUCCAAUCUCCGUUGCCUUAAGCCCCUUUCGGAGGAGCCGUCUGGCAGCAUGCCUGGACUUUGUGGAGCGGUUCCAAGCCUCACCAUGAUGGACAGCAGUUUGCCGUAAGUCAGGUGGGCCGGGAUGUGGUCCGGUUUGGCCCUCAGGGACUCCUUGUACCAGUGGCGCGCCUCCUCCAGCUUGUUGAGCCUCAUGUAGGCUUCUCCUGGAGAUGGAGAAGAUGUUAUUCUUCAUGACCGAAUGAAUGCAUGACAUCACUUGGGUCCCUCCACCUGACUAAACACCCUCCUCCCGUCCCCAGUGAGACCUCAAGCGGACCCUCGUGGAGCGUCUAAAGGGCGUACCCAUCAUGUUGAAGAGGCUGUGUGGGGCAAAGUGUCUGGGCAUCCUCUGCACCGCCCGCUUGUAAACAGAAAUGGCCUCCUGCGGUGGAGACAAGGAGCCCUUUUAGAGGAGAAAGGAGUCCUCGGCGGCGGCGAGCCUCACCUCCUGCUGGCCCUGCUCGUGGAGCAUCUUCCCCAGGUUGUACAGGCAGCUGGUGACCGAGCUCUUGUGGGUGUGGGGGUCCUUCAGGUUCUCGUCGGGAAUGUUGGCGCAGGUCACGAAGGUCCGCUUGGCCUCCUCCAGGCUCCCCCGGUUCAUCAGGAUGAUGCCCGUGUUCAGCGUGGGCCGACUGCCGAUGGCCUUUUUGUAAUAGUGGAGGGCCUCCGAGAAGCUCUCCUUCUCCUGCAGCAGCAAACCCCUGGAAGACAGAAGACCAGAAGACGUGGAGGAUGUGAUCAGGGCUGGUUUUUCAUAUUGGGGCCACGUUAUACAGCAUGUCGGCCAUGUUGCUCCUGUGAUGCAGGGCGUUCCUGUAGGCUCUCUCCGCCUCCGCCAUCUUGCCUUGGCUCUUCAGCACGUUGCCCAAGUUGCCCCAGGCUGCAGAAGACAACACAAGCAUCAUCAGACCACCAACGAACACAAAAGGCGCCGGACCACGUGGCAAGCGUACCUUUGGCGGGGUUGACGCUGAUCCCGGACUUGUAGAGCUUCUCCUCGUUGCUCCAGUCCUUGUUCCUCUGAACGGUUCUCAGCCCGUUGAGCAGCACCAGGCCCAAACACAGAGCCAGCAGCAGAGCCUUCAGGCCUCUUCUCCUGAGUCUAACGUACAAAGUUCUCGCACCGGUGGCCACCAGCAAACAGAAGCCGACACUGGGGAUGUAGAGAACCCUCUCGGCGAUGACAAAGCCCACGUAAAAGAACAAGUUGGACGCCGGGACGAAAGGCAGCGACAGGAAGGCGAGUGAGAAGAUAACGAGGUUUUCUGUCGGGGGGAGAGACAUCCGAGGAGAGUCGACGUGAAGACCCCCUGAGCCGUUGAGGGUGGCCUUUGGAGGACACAGGUGGGGCCGUGAAAGCCGAACCAAGCCAGGAGCCCCAACGCGCCGUAGAAGCCGAGCGUGUGAAGGUUCCUCCAGUCGGCCAAGGACGUCACCAGGGGCACCGCGUCCAUGGACCAAUCGAAACUGAGCUUAUCGGGACAGAGGAGCAGCCAGGCGUUGGCGGCAGGCAGGUGCAGGAAGGUCAGCGUCCGAGUGAGAAGAUGCAGGGAGUCGGCGGCGGGGUUGUCCGAGUUGGAGAAGUUGGGAGGCUUGUUGCCCAUCCAGUAGAUACGACAUGACAGCAGGAUGGCGCCCCAGCUUGCCAGAACGCUCAGGCUCAGGAGAAGCUUUGGGUUCUUCUUCUGGAAAGACAAAGCGUGCGGAGAAUCAACCUCCAGCCAAGGGAACAUGGUCAGGCUGCACACCGACAGGAAAGACGGUCAACUUGACCUUCUAAAGCACGGUGGAACCCCGCAAGAACCUGCAGAGUGGCCCGUGUGGAACACACCAUGCAGGUAGCAGAGGCGAUCCAGGAGGAUGAGACCUUCAAUGCAGGGAGCAAGCGUCGCCUUCAGCUGCAUGGAGACGUGUCUUCAAAAUACCCCGCGCGUCGGGCUGAAACUCCUCAGAGAGCUGGUGGUAGCAGCACCCCACGCUGCAGACGGCCAGGAGCUCCGCUUUAGCCACAAACAUCCUGAGGGUGCUAGCAGCCAGGUCGCCACAGGUCCUGGAUGAGCUCCCCGAGCUCCGUUUCCGCGGUAACGUAGGACAUGAGUGGCGAGAAGACAUCUGAGCCGCUGCUCCGGUUCUGGGAUUUCCUCUCCAGGGUCUGGUAUCUGCAGCACCUCCUGUGACCCACCUUCAUCUCCAUCAUCUCCAGCUUUUAGUUCUGCGACCUCUUCCGAGGGCAUCUCUUCCUCUGCGUUUUUAGCCUCCGUGCGUUUGUGGUACACCUUGGAGAACUUCUUCAGCUUGCGGUUUCUCUCCCGGGCGCCGUGGGUGUUGAUGCUGGACGAGUCGAUGCCGAAGACCCGGAGGCCGUGCUGCAGGGACAAGAAGGCGCUCAGUGCUUGGCCAAACAGUCCACCACCUCCGACAUGGAUCGGACCUCGUGGAAUUUCUUUGUGCUCAUAAACUCGUCCGACUCCACCUCAGCCGUGGAAGUAUUGUCCGGUUCCGACAUGUUUCGUCUGAGGGCCUCCAGAAGCUCAUCUUGGCUUAUGCAGACUCUCAAACCAGGAAGUGAGUGGGCCUUUGCUGCUUGCAAUAGUUCAUUUAUAUCAACAAGCUGCUUUGUAUCUUGGCAGAAGCCAAAUGUGGUCCCGGAUUUUUCUGUUUAGGGUAAAAGUAAAAGUAAAAUUAGUUGUUCAUAAUAUUUAGUUUUCAUUUGAUUACAUCAAUAUUUUAUAAAUCGGAGUCACCUUGUUUUAGGACUUUUGUCUCCCCCUGGUGGCCGCUUCUGUCAAUGGCAGCCAGAACCUCUUCGGGUGAAACAGCCACGAAGCGGCUCCACACGUCGUGGGUGUAAAACUCGACAGUGUGGGCGUUGGCGAUGCACAGAGUUGCAUCGAGAAACCGAGUGACUUCAUUUAUCCGUUGCUGGACCUCCGUAAGGCUGAUGGAGACGGGAAUCAUGUUGAAAUACUAAAAAAGCCAGGCAGACUGAAGUGAAUCUAGUCGGCAGUCCACUUCCGAUAUACUCAAGGCAUUAGUAGUUGAAAACAUAUCAUCGAUUUUUAUUUUGGACGUCUCUGGGGCCUCUUCUGAAAUAUUGCUCUACAUAAAAUAGUUUUAAUACCAAUUUAAUGUAAUAUUUUAAUAAUUCAGUGUUAAUUGUUUAAAAAAAGCGAACGGAGGAAGAAAAUAUAUCCCAUAUUGAUCGCGUGAUCUGCAGUCGGUUAUUCACGUUUCUUGUGUACGUCAUCAAUCUGCGACUGUAAAGACACGCAGUACUAGCACGCGUGUAAACAUUUUACUGUCCCACUAGUUUACAUAUCUACAUAUCAAAAAA